rnacentral:rRNA from 1 species
UACGAAGGGGGCUAGCGUUGCUCGGAAUCACUGGGCGUAAAGGGUGCGUAGGCGGGUCUUUAAGUCAGGGGUGAAAUCCUGGAGCUCAACUCCAGAACUGCCUUUGAUACUGAGGAUCUUGAGUUCGGGAGAGGUGAGUGGAACUGCGAGUGUAGAGGUGAAAUUCGUAGAUAUUCGCAAGAACACCAGUGGCGAAGGCGGCUCACUGGCCCGAUACUGACGCUGAGGCACGGAAAGCGUGGGGAGCAAACAGG